GAUGAACGCUGGCGGCGUGCUUAACACAUGCAAGUCGAACGGUGAAGGCGGAGUUUGCUCUGCUGGAUCAGUGGCGAACGGGUGAGUAUCACGUGAGCAAUCUGACCACGACUCUGGGCUAAGCGCUGGAAACGGCGUCUAAUACAGGAUACGAGCUGAGCAGGCAUCUUAAGCAGCUGGAAAGAAUUUCGGUCAGGGAUGAGCUCGCGGCUUCGCAGCUUGUUGGUGAGGUCAUGGCCCACCAAGGCGUCGACGAGUAGCCGGCGUGGGAGGGUGACCGGCCACAGUGGGACUGAGACACAGCCCAGACUCCGACGGGAGGCAGCGGUAGGGGAUGUUACACUAUGGGCGAGGGCCUAAGGCAGCAACGCCGCGGGAGGGAGGACGGCGUUCGGGUUGGAGACCUCUUUUAGCAGGGAAGGAGCGGAAGUAACGAUGCCUGCAGAAAAAGCGGCAGCUGACAACGUG
rnacentral:rRNA from 1 species